UUUUUUGCAGGGCAAAGAAACCUUCCAGAAGACUUAAAACAUGAAGGCUCAAGUAAAGCCCAAAGUUUCUGAUGACCACCCCACAAAGCAUUUCAGUAUUGAUGGCGUAGAGCGACUCUCCUGGACCAGCGGGUCUGACCCCAGGUGGAGAGAAGAAUGGAAAGAACAGCUCUGCCAGGGCUGUUUCGGAAGCAAAAGUAACAGAUGAGACUUCCCCCUGAUGAAAUGAGCCAGUAGAGAAAAGAUGUCUUCUGGUGAUGCUGGGGUCCAAGUACCAGGUUUUCUCCUGCCCUGUGGUAAACCUACAUGGACCAACAACCAACCAGCUACGGCAGAGCAGUCGAUGCCAGUGGGAGAACCAGGCUCUCUGACCUGGGAAACCGAUCGGACUCCAGCUCUGUCCUCUCCCCCUGGCGGUGUGGGUGCAUGGUGUGGGUGAGCCUGGGAUCCCUAGGGUCUGUGCAUGUGACCGUGUGUCAUACGUGCAUACAACCCUCAGUCCUCCUCCUUCCAGCCAGGGGUCAGCUGUAAAACCCUCUCCCCUAGGUUUCCUUCAAGCUCCAGCCACCCUUUACUUAUAUGUCUGUGCUCCGAGUCUGUCUGUAGUGUUCAUCUUCACGGGACUUCAUUGGCAUAAAAACACGACAGAACGAUAAACGGACAACAAACAUCUGAAAAAC
rnacentral:lncRNA from 1 species